UCACUAUUUAAUACUAUGUUUCUUGACAUAUCAUAAAAUUUAGCCUCUCAAAGUGUACAAUUCAGUGGGUUUUAGUAUAUUUACAGAAUUGUGCAAAUAUUACCAAUAUCUAAUUCCCAAACAUUUCAAACAUUUCACACAUAUCCAUUUGGAGUCACACCCCAUGGCCCCCUCUCCCUGGAUUCUUAGUUUUAUCUUCUCUUUGUUUUUCUAGUCUCUAUUUCAUUUAUUUCUGCUCUGAUCUUUAUUAUUUCCUUCUACUAACUUUGGAAUUAGUUUCUUCUUCUUUUUCUAGUUCCUUGAGAAGUAAGGUUAGGUUGUUUAUCUGAGAUCUUUCUUCCUUUGUGAUAAGUUUAUUGCCUUAAACUUAUGACUCAGAACUGCUUUGCUGCAUCCCCUAAGUUUUGGUAUGUGUGUUUCCAUGUUUUCCAGAUUAUUUAAAUUUCUUCUUUGACCCAUUGUUGAUGAACAUUUUGUUUAAUUUCUAUGUGU
rnacentral:lncRNA from 1 species